UCCGCAGAUGAAAAUCUGGAAAACUGAAAGUUCUGGGUGAAAACUAUUCUAAAUAUAAGAAGUAAUUUUGUGAGGCUGUGUGGUCUGUGUGGCAUCCUAUGAGUCUUGGUGUUUAAAGAAAGGAGAUUCCAAAGUAAGAAAGCCCAAGAGAAAAGUUUCCUGAGCACCUUGAGGAAGAUGUGAAAGCAGCAGCAAACAGAAAGCAAGACUGGCAUUUGAGCAGUUCUUGGGAGACACCUGGACCAUCAGGAGCGUGACCAUCAUAACCAGUAAAUAAGGUGGGCUACUGGAUCUGUAUGGAAAACACUGGGGGAAAGAGUCGCCAAGUUUGAAACGGGCAGAAGAGAGAUGCUCUCAGUUGGUGGGUUUUGGUUGGGGGUUUUUUUUGUUUGUUGUUUGGAGGUUUUAUUUAUUUAUUUAUUUAAGAAAGAGAGCGGCGACGUCUCAACUAAAGCAGAGCAACAAGUCCGGGGAGGGGGCGGAUCCCCGGCCCGGGGGAAGGGGCUGCAGCGCCCGGAGCCCCCCGGGACGCGCGGGAGGUGAACAGGCGGUGCCCGCAGCACCCGGGGCUCGCCCGCACCGUCCCCGCGGCACAGGGCGCUCGUUCCACCCCGGUGCCACCCCGCACCGAGCGCGGGGCUGCCCUUCCCGGGGGCUCUCCCCUCCCCGGGGGGCUCGAGGGAAUGCCCGGUGCGGUGUCCGUGCGGGAGCUGAGGCGGUAGGAUGACAGAAUCGUUUGGGUUGGAAAAGACUCUUAAGACCAUCGAGUAAAGCUGGCAGUGCCAAGCCCGCCACUAAACCAUGUCCCCAAGUGCCACAUCUACACGGCUUUUAAGCCCCGCCGCGGGUGGGGACUCCACCCCUGCCCCGGGCAGGCUGUGCCAGGGCCGGGUGACUCUUUCGGGGGUUCUGUACGGUUGGUAUUGGAACAGCAGAGGGAAGUUGCAGAAAGUUCCUGUUACUGUCUCGUGCAUCGGGAAAGAGAUUCCUGCCAGGCUUGGCACGGACUGCCCUCCAGCAGCCGCCGCCGGCGCAGGGAGCAGCGGUGGUGGUCUCUUUAGCAUCACUUUUCGUGCUCGUUUUUUACUCGGUGUUUUUGCGUGAAAACACAUGAACUAAAUCCUUGGGGCUCCGCAGCGAGCCCUGGUGAGUCGUCAUGUGCUGGUGGUCCCCUCUGCAACUCUUAAUUGGUAACUUGGAGAUGGAGAGAGUCCUUAUUAGCAAAUCGCAUUUCCCCCCACCUCCCCCCCGCAUCCCUCCGCUCCCGCUGAAGCCAACUCCAUGAGGCGAUUGCCAGGAGGAGCCGUUUGUCAAAGGCUAAUAAACAAAUUCCUCGCGAGCACCUGAAUGAACGAGGGCCAGGAACAACCCAAUUAAGAAACGGAGCUACUGGUUGUUUUUUUGUGGCGGUGGAAACAAUCCGGGCUCGAAAAGGGUCUAUUCAGGGGGCGCUCCGAGAGGUCUGUUUGCAGCCCGCUAUUGUUGUCAGAAGCCAAAUAAAAGUUCAGCUGGGGAAGGGGAAGAGAACUGAUUAAAAACAACAUUCGCCGCUGCCUCCUAAACGCACUGGGAGGCUCAGUUCAAAGGGAUCGAUCUGUGCCCAAACGACACUGGCCGGGUUUACCCACGCACUUAAGAUUUUUGUUCUUAAAUGUUGCGAUUUUUAAUGAUGUCAUCACAAGUAACUCCUGCUUUCCCGGAUCCGUGAGCAGCAGGGACAGCUGCAGACGCUGGUGCAGCUGCGAUAUCCAUGAGGCGAGGUGCUGGAGAAGUUAGAGAAAGGAGUUGGAGCUCGUUUGUCGGAACUAAUGAUUUGUUCUCCCUCUCACCGGGCUGAGAGGUCGGUCCGGCCAUGUCAGCCCCUCGGAGAGGGAGGCAGGAGCCUCGCAGGCAAUCUCGAGCUGGUUUGUUUUGGGUUUUUUUGUUGUUUGUUUGGGGUUUGUUGUUGUUGUUGUUGUUAGUUUUUGACGUGACACUUAGGUGGGGAAUAAUUAAAAAAAAUAUGUAUCCUAACGACCUUGGGCUGUGGAACCAGCCUGAAAUGGCCCAUUUAGCAGCCACUUUACCACGCUGGAGAAUUCUGCCGGAGGGUACGGAUUUGAGCUGAAACAAACAUCAAGCGAACUUUCAUCUUUAAGCAUCGCUAAAAGGGCUGGGCAUUUCUGGAGGAUCGUCCUAGCGAGGGUCAGCAGGGUCCAAACGAAAGGGGCGCCCAGCUCCGUUGUCUGGGCAAGUUUCGAGGACAAGUCCUCGCUAAUCUUGGUCGGGAAUUAGGCUGGGGACCAAGGGGAUAUUUUAAUAACAGGAUUAAACGGGGCCGAUUUCGUGCAUAGCGUUAGUCUUUAAAAGCCAGCGAUCAUCCUUGACGUUGUACCAAGACUCCCUCAAGCUCUUCUGGAGCUGCAAUUAAUAUCUGUUAAUGGCUGUUGUUUAUUAGGCGCUGAUUGAGUAAAAAGCAGACGGUCCCUUCCUUUCUCUCGCGUUCAUUUUGGAUUGUACUGUAAACUUCUUAUCUCGCCUCACCCUCCUUGGUAACCCACAUAAAUAAAUAAUAACAAGAAAAGGGCUUCUCAGCCUUUGACAACUGUAUUUACACAACCCCAAGCGUUCUCCAGCCCCCACCAGGCACAGGGGGCUCUCCGAGUCCCGGCCUCUGCCGACCAGGGAAUUUAGGGAAAUGGCUCCAAGCAUCGGGUUUCCC